rnacentral:rRNA from 1 species
GCUUAACACAUGCAAGUCGAGCGGCAGCACGGGUACUUGUACCUGGUGGCGAGCGGCGGACGGGUGAGUAAUGCCUAGGAAUCUGCCUGGUAGUGGGGGAUAACGCUCGGAAACGGACGCUAAUACCGCAUACGUCCUACGGGAGAAAGCAGGGGACCUUCGGGCCUUGCGCUAUCAGAUGAGCCUAGGUCGGAUUAGCUUGUUGGUGAGGUAACGGCUCACCAAGGCGACGAUCGGUAGCUGGUCUGAGAGGACGAUCAGCCACACUGGGACUGAGACACGGCCCAGACUCCUACGGGAGGCAGCAGUGGGGAAUCUUGCGCAAUGGGCGAAAGCCUGACGCAGCGACGCCGCGUGAGGGAAAAAGGCCUUCGGGUUGUAAACCUCUUUCAGGAGGGACGAAGCCACUCGGGUUAAUACCCCAGAGGGUGACGGUACCUCCAGAAGAAGCCCCGGCUAACUACGUGCCAGCCGCCGCGGUAAUNC